rnacentral:rRNA from 1 species
GAUGAACGCUGGCGGCGUGCUUAACACAUGCAAGUCGAGCGAAGCAGUUAAGUUGAUUUCUUCGGAUUGAUUCUUAACUGACUGAGCGGCGGACGGGUGAGUAACGCGUGGGUGACCUGCCCCAUACCGGGGGAUAACAGCUGGAAACGGCUGCUAAUACCGCAUAAGCGCACAGAGCUGCAUGGCUCGGUGUGAAAAACUCCGGUGGUAUGGGAUGGGCCCGCGUCUGAUUAGGCAGUUGGCGGGGUAACGGCCCACCAAACCGACGAUCAGUAGCCGGCCUGAGAGGGCGACCGGCCACAUUGGGACUGAGACACGGCCCAAACUCCUACGGGAGGCAGCAGUGGGGAAUAUUGCACAAUGGGGGAAACCCUGAUGCAGCGACGCCGUGUGAGCGAAGAAGUAUUUCGGUAUGUAAAGCUCUAUCAGCAGGGAAGAUAAUGACGGUACCUGACUAAGAAGCCCCGGCUAACUACGUGCCAGCAGCCGCGGUAAUACGUAGGGGGCAAGCGUUAUC